GAUGAACGCUGGCGGCGUGCUUAACACAUGCAAGUCGAACGGAAAGGCUCCUGCUUGCAGGGGUACUCGAGUGGCGAACGGGUGAGUAACACGUGGGUGAUCUGCCCUGCACUUCGGGAUAAGCCUGGGAAACUGGGUCUAAUACCGGAUAGGACGAUGGUUUGGAUGCCAUUGUGGAAAGUUUUUUCGGUGUGGGAUGAGCUGGCGGCCUAUCAGCUUGUUGGUGGGGUAAUGGCCUACCAAGGCGUCGACGGGUAGCCGGCCUGAGAGGGUGUACGGCGACAUUGGGACUGAGAUACGGCCCAGACUCCUACGGGAGGCAGAAGUGGGGAAUAUUGCACAAUGGGCGCAAGCCUGAUGCAGCGACGCCGCGUGGGGGAUGACGGCCUUCGGGUUGUAAACUCCUUUCGCUAGGGACGAAGCGCAAGUGACGGUACCUGGAGAAGGAGCACCGGCUAACUACGUG
rnacentral:rRNA from 1 species